rnacentral:rRNA from 1 species
AAAUUGAAGAGUAUGAUCAUGGCUCAGAUUGAGCGCUGGCGGCGGGCCUAACACAUGGAAGUCGAACGGGAACAGGAAGCAGCGUGCUGCUGCGCGGACGAGUGGCGGACGGGUGAGUAAUGUCUGGGAAACUGCCUGAUGGAGGGGGAUAACUACUGG